rnacentral:rRNA from 1 species
UACGUAGGGUGCGAGCGUUAAUCGGAACUACUGGGCGUAAAGCGUGCGCAGGCGGCGCGUUAAGACAGGUGUGAAAGCCCCGAGCUUAACUUGGGAAUUGCGCUUGUGACUGGCGUGCUGGAGUGUGGCAGAGGGAGGUGGAAUUCCACGUGUAGCAGUGAAAUGCGUAGAGAUGUGGAGGAACACCGAUGGCGAAGGCAGCCUCCUGGGCCAGCACUGACGCUCAUGCACGAAAGCGUGGGGAGCAAACAGG